GCCUGUGGUGCAAUGGGUCAGUGCGUCUGGCUGUUAACCCAAAGGUUGGUGGUUCAAGACCGCCCAGUAACA